GCCCCCGAUCUGAGUGAGGUUGCAGUUUCUCUGCGUCACAUACUCAAUGCUGGUGGACUCCAUCAGCAGCGCGUAGUCUGUGGUGGAGAUUUUUGAUUUCUGGAGGGAAAGAAAACACACUCACCAGCAGAAGAGGGCUGGAAAAAUACGACCUAAAGAUCAUCUGCCGAAUCUAUGGGGGAUUCCAUUCUCUCUACUGUCAAGAAGGCAGCCAGAUUGGCCGUGUAGGAUGAAAUGAUGAUUAGGGUGAAAAACCACCAUAUCCCUCCAACUAUUCUGGUCGAUAGAGCUUUGGGCAUCAGCUCUGAUCCUGUGAUGGUAUCAUCAGAGUAAGGGUGUUAAACACAGUCAGAAGGAAAGGGAAGAUGUACAGUUCGACACUAUUCUAGGAAGAUCAACCUGUAAAAGACUUACCGUCUUGUAGGUAGAUGAAAUAAAUGCAUUUUAUAGAAAAUGGAGCAAAAUCUUAAGGAUUAUUUUCAAAUCAUUAAUCACUACUGCUGCUUUAACUAUAAUUUAUCAGUAGCUGAUGGUAUUAAAACAGUUUUAACCUGGAGGCAUUCCAUGUCUAAAAUUUAGUUAGUUUAGUUGCUUAGAAUUGAAGUCAACCCCAAGACUUUUUGCCUUUUAUUACUGUCUAAAUGCAUCUUAUAGUGUGAAGUAAAAUAUUCUGCGUCUUUGUAUAACUAUGAAAAUCUUUGAAAUGCUUACAUUUUUAUUUAAGGUUAAAGAAUGAGAGCUACUUGUAAAAUAUUAACAUGCCAUUUAUCACAUAUACUUUAAUAAAACAUUGGGAUUUUACAAAUAAAAUAAGAUGCAGCCAUACUUGACAGUGGAUGAAUUAGUUUUUAUUGUCUUAUGUUACCUUAAAAGCUACAAUUCUUUUUUCUACUGUAGAUUUUUAUUUGGCUAAAAAAACACAUUCUCUGCAAUGCAUAAUUUUGUACUUCAAUAAAAUGCUGUUUCUUAACUACACUUCAAAGACAGGCUGUUCCUUAGGUGAAAGAAGACUUUCCUGGUAAGAAUAUACAUUUUAGAUGUCAUUCAGAUGAUUUGAAAUUAUGUUUAAAUGAUAAAAUAGAGGCACUUAAUGUGUUUUCCAAGGAAACCUUCCUCUCUAAAAGAAAGGGUUUAUGAGCUAAGUUUACUGUCAUAAAAGACAAACAUCUUGAAAACGGUCUAGCUCAAUUUUGCUCAAACUCAGCAGCAGAAUUAGAAUAAAUGAGAAGUACAAUUAGAGUCCACUCCAGUUGUACUGAUUCAUACGUGGAUUUUGGCUUGUUCAUCUGCCUGAAAUUUGCCAUUGGUUCUGUACUUAGCAUAUCCUCCAUGAACCUGAAGGCAUGACAGAGUUUAUCUGACCAGAUAAAAAGUGAAAGAAAAACACCCUAAAUUAAAAAUCCCAAAGAGUGAAGUACGGUAGGUCAGCUGUCUGGUCUAUAGGAUCCCUUUACUAUACUGAUAGGGUGUUUUGAAGCUCUGUCGUUAAUAAUGGCUUAAGAUGGAAAGGAAAAUUGGAGUUCACCAGUCUACCAAUAAAUGAAUUUGUGCUCAGGUUUAAUCUAUAAACAGAUGCAAAUACGGCUCAGGAAAUCAUAGCCAGCUCAAGGCCAGUGAUAAUCAGAUCAAGGUCGCCAGAGUUUCUGGGCUUUGAAUUAACGGAUAUAUUCUCCUAAUGCUAUUACGUAUCUUUGUGUUUUAUUCCCUUUUAAUGAGGGAAAUGGUUUGACAGCGAUUUGUGUUUCCUUCUGUCGUUUGUUUGAAUUUGAGUGGGUAAUAUUACACAGACUUAUAAUAGUUUUCCAUUAAAUUGCCUCCAAGGAUUUAGUGGAAUGGUUUGCUGCUGUUGUUUUAAUAUUGUGGUUUAAUGGGAUUUAUAUGCCUGUGGGUGUGUGUGUGUUUAAUGCCCAAGGUUGUUUCAUAUCUUUGUACUUAAUUGAUCUAGCAGUCUUGUGGCAAUGUAAUAUUAUUUUAGCUCUUUAGUUGGUUAUCAUUAAAAUACUAUUUAUUUCAUAAAAUAGCCAUAGGAAAUAAAUAACAGUUAAUAGAUAUAUUUUUCUUAGCUUAUGGGUGCAGAUUUUCUGCUGUAAAUUUAUUCUUUCAUUAUUUGGUUGCAUAUGAAAACAUAAGGUUUUCACUUAUUUGUAUAUUUGUAUAAUUAUGUAUUAUAUGGCAUUAAGAGUGGACAGACAGGUGAACAACAGGCUGUUGACAUGUAAUAAUACUAAUUCACAUCUUUCACACUUCAGAAUGCAUAUUUAAACUUUUGGAUAAAGUUACCUUAGAAACUUAAUAAAAAUGUUAAUAGAAACGUAUUGAGAUUACAUUUUAAACCCUUGUUAGAUGGCAUCAAUUAGACUUCUCAAUGUUUCUUCGUGUUUUCUAUUUUUAUCUAAUUUUUGUGAAUUUUGUAAUUCUCCAAGUUAGAAAUAUUUAGAAAUGGCUUCUUUCAAGUAGAGAUGAUUUGUGUAAGUUUAGUACUCUAGAGGAUGAAGUUAUA